AUUGAACGCUGGCGGCAUGCCUUACACAUGCAAGUCGAACGGCAGCACGGGUGCUUGCACCUGGUGGCGAGUGGCGAACGGGUGAGUAAUACAUCGGAACAUGUCCCGUAGUGGGGGAUAGCCCGGCGAAAGCCGGAUUAAUACCGCAUACGAUCUACGGAUGAAAGCGGGGGCCCUUCGGGCCUCGCGCUAUCGGGUUGGCCGAUGGCGGAUUAGCUAGUUGGUGGGGUAAAGGCCUACCAAGGCGACGAUCAGUAGCUGGUCUGAGAGGACGACCAGCCACACUGGGACUGAGACACGGCCCAGACUCCUACGGGAGGCAGCAGUGGGGAAUUUUGGACAAUGGGCGAAAGCCUGAUCCAGCAAUGCCGCGUGUGUGAAGAAGGCCUUCGGGUUGUAAAGCACUUUUGUCCGGAAAGAAAUCCUUGGCCCUAAUACGGUCGGGGGAUGACGGUACCGGAAGAAUAAGCACCGGCUAACUACGUG
rnacentral:rRNA from 1 species